GGUUGUCCUUAGUAAAUUUGGAUGCACCUAAAAGUAUUUGGAUUUAAGUCGAUGUUUGAUUUGUUUCGACAUAGUCGUAAUUGGUCGAUAUCGUAAUUUCAAGUAAAAGUUCGGUAAUUUGGGUUAAUUAUCGAACAAGUCUCGAUUGGUCAAAGUUGGUCAACUCCUGGUCAAACCAGGAAAAGUUGUCGAGAUUCAGUAUAAUUGUUCAAAAGAUAUUAACUAUCGAAAUGUCGGAAUCUAGGACUCCAGAUACCCGAGGAACGGAAGGUUCGCGACUCUCGGAGUACGUGAGAGAAAGCAUCGGAAUCCAGGUAGGGGACUCGGGACUCUCUAUUGGCUAGUGAUUUUCCAUAUUUGAUUUUAUACAUGAUGCAUGAUGAAAGUGUAUUGUUAGUUGAAAUUUGAAAUGUUUUUAAGUUAACGUGCGUAUAAGAUUGUUGAUGGCGGUGUGUGAGAGCGGAAAGGUGGUCGAUGACUUCCUUGGGGAUUAGCCACCCCUAAACCUCCGGAGGGUUAGCUACACCGGUCGGACGGUGCGCAAUCGCAAUGAUGACACGGUUCCGUGUGUGUAGCUAGUGUGUUAAGUUUGGCGCUCUGUGACUGGUAAGGUCAGAUGUUGGUUCUACGGAACUAGGCCAUCAGUUUGGAUGCAGGUACUGUGCACUGGUGACAGGACAAAAGCGGACGGAGCUGGGUGUGCGGAAUAAGUCCGGUAAACCAUUGUUUGGACUUUGUUCUACAUUCUUUUUCCCGAACUUCGUGUUCCGAAAGUUGUUGAUAGUUAGCUUGCUCAUUCCUUAAAGUUCGUAUCCUUCGUGUGAACAUUCAUUCAAGUUCUGGACGAAUGAAAUAGAUUUCAACAACUCAAGUUUUUCA